rnacentral:rRNA from 1 species
GACGAACGCUGGCGGCGUGCUUAACACAUGCAAGUCGAACGGAAAGGCCCUGCUUUUGUGGGGUGCUCGAGUGGCGAACGGGUGAGUAACACGUGAGUAACCUGCCCUUGACUUUGGGAUAACUUCAGGAAACUGGGGCUAAUACCGGAUAGGAGCUCCUGCUGCAUGGUGGGGGUUGGAAAGUUUCGGCGGUUGGGGAUGGACUCGCGGCUUAUCAGCUUGUUGGUGGGGUAGUGGCUUACCAAGGCUUUGACGGGUAGCCGGCCUGAGAGGGUGACCGGGCACAUUGGGGCUGGGAUACGGGCCAGACCCCUACGGGGGGGAGAAGGGGGGGAUAAUGCAAAAAGGGGGGGAGCCUGAUGCAGGAACGCCGGGGGGGGGGUGGCGGCCUUCGGGGUGUAAACCGCUUUCGCCGGUGAAGGAGGGGGGGUGACGGUGAUGGGGAAAGAAACCACGGCUAAAUACGGG